GCUCACUUCGGCAGCACAUAUACUAAAAU
rnacentral:snRNA from 1 species